rnacentral:rRNA from 1 species
UACGGGGGGGGGCAAGCGUUGUUCGGAAUUACUGGGCGUAAAGGGCUCGUAGGUGGCCAACUAAGUCAGACGUGAAAUCCCUCGAGUCUAACUGGGGAACUGCGUCUGAUACUGGAUGGCUUGAGAUUGGGAGAGGGAUGCGGAAUUCCAGGUGUAGCGGUGAAAUGCGUAGAUAUCUGGAGGAACACCGGUGGCGAAGGCGACAUCCUGGACCAACACUGACACUGAGGAGCGAAAGCCAGGGGAGCAAACGGG